rnacentral:misc_RNA from 1 species
GGAAGGAUCAUUACUGAAUUGUCAAACGGGCUGUUGCUGGUCCUCAAAUGGGGACAUGUGCACGCUCUGUUUACACAUCCACUCACACCUGUGCACCCUCUGUAGUUCUACGGUAUGGGGGACCCCGUCUUCCUUCCGUGGUUCUAUGUCUUUACACACACACUGUAAUAAAGUCUUAUGGAAUGUAUGCCGCGUCUAACGCAAUACAAUACAACUUUCAGCAACGGAUCUCUUGGCUCUCGCAUCGAUGAAUAACGCAGCGAAAUGCGAUAAGUAAUGUGAAUUGCAGAAUUCAGUGAAUCAUCGAAUCUUUGAACGCACCUUGCGCCCCUUGGCUAUUCCGAGGGGCAUGCCUGUUUGAGUAUCAUGAACACCUCAACUCUCAUG